GGAAAUGUACUUUCGGCAGUUUGCAAACACAUUUGAUUAAGGCUCCGUUAGACACAUAUAACCAUAUCAAUAUAAUUUCUAGUAGUAGUGUGGUUGCUUAAUAAGUGGAAAGGAAUGUGCAGGCUACAUGAAUUUGUUUUCUUCAAAGUAUUGUGGAACAGGAGGUCCGGAAAGGGAGCAUAUCUCAAGGCCGAUGGGAACGCGAAAAACAACUCGUCUUUGUGGUCCAGACACCUGUGCUGAGCAGGGGAAAACCCAAACGAGGAGGAGAUGACCACAGACCAUCGACCAAUCACCACACAAUCUUUUGCAUGUUUGAAUAUUCAUAUUGUGUUUCUUUAAAACUGGGCAACCCGGAAGAAUGUGUCGUCUUUCUGGUCACGAAGGCACACGAGUUUUUGUGUUAAGGACCCAAGACCCAGGCGCCUGUAUUAGCUUGCUUUGUCAAGAUUAAACAAUUGGUAAAUUCGGUCUGAUUGAUCUACUGGUCUUCUCUUUGACAGAACGAACUCGCAAAAUUGUUAGGUGCGCCAGUGUGUGGAUUAGAACAUAGCAAUUUUUGUGUUAAGUGUUGAUCACAAUUUGGAGUCAGAUCAAUAGCUAAAAUCCGUAUCCUAACAGUUUCUUGGUGACCCCGACGUGAUGUCAAGAGAAGGGUUAUUGACAACUCGUGGUCUGUGUCCAAGUCAUCGGACAGUUAGUCUGGGACAGCUGUCUCCCGGUCGGCGUACCGUUGGAAUAAAGAAUAUGUGCACAACGUUGAGCUGGUACGACGUCUCCUAAACCGAUGAGGUAAGCAGAAUACCUGUUACUAUAUGUCGAAAUUUUGCAAAUUGAAAUAGGAAAUUUAAGAGGAGACUGUCGUUCAGAUCAAAUAAGGUGUGCAAGCAAUUAGAAACAGUUAAAUUCCGUGGUGGGAGUGCGGGCUCCUCUGUUCUUUUAGAAACAGUUAAAUUCCGUGGUGGGAGUGCGGGCUCCUCUGUUCUUUGAGAAACAGUUAAAUUCCGUGGUGGGAGUGCGGGCUCCUCUGUUCUUUGAGAAACAGUUAAAUUCCGUGGUGGGAGGGCGGACUCCUCUGUUUCGCUUCGUCGUGGCGGACAAGGGUGCGGUGACGAUCGCAUUCAAAUAGCUGGGGUGCUUGUGAGAUCCCCGAGGAGAAGUGAGGCCUCCUCAAAAAGUAUCCGGUGGUAACAGUUCCUCCUGUGAGAGACCAGACCGCUAAAAUAUCCAAAAUGUGCAACCAAAUUGGGGGGAGUGUGUGUGUGAUGAGAGGAAUGAAUGGAGUGAGAUUGAGAGGAAUGUAUGCUAAUGUGGAAGUGCAAAUUGUGAGCUACAUGAGAGAUGGAUUUGAAUCCCUUUGUCUGUGUGUUCUGUGUAUGUGCGUAAUCUCUGUAAAAGUUUGUGUCAGUCUAUCGUCGUUCGUCUGAGCUCUGCGCGAGCACUUUGUGUAUUGGCGUGCGUGCCGUGCGGAUGCGUGUGUGUAUGUGCGGUUGUGUGCGCGCUCGCUGUGUGUGCGUUUAUGUGUACAUGUGUGGUUGCGGGCGUGUGAGGAGGAAGAUGGGAUGGAUCAGAGAAUGUUCAAAAAAAAGGAGGGGGCCCGUUCGGCUCAUACCGGCGAGGGUGGGGGCCAGCGGGACGUGCGGGCCUGGCCAGAUUGUGACGUCAACAUUGAUACAAUGUUGAGGAGAAGUGAGAGAAGAGAGGGGGGCUAACUUGUAAAUAGUGAUGAGAUAAUUGUUCAAUUGAUGGGAGUUAAUAAUUAUCCAAAUUUUAGUCACAUGUUUUGAGGGACCACAGCAACAACAUUGUAUUUGCAGGCCAUUAAUUUAGUUGGUGAUGACAGUGUUUAGAUAAGUAGAUUGUUUUAUCAAAAAAUGUGAGAGUGAAGGAGGAGGUUUGAUUUGUAAUCUGGCAUUUGGGUGCCACUUUUAAGAGUCUGUGCAGGAGCAUAGAUUGUUUUGGUUGUUUUUAAAGAUAUAUUUAACAGUUUAUUUCGGUGCAGUAAGGAUAUAGCAGUUUUGAAAGACUUAAAAUCGAAAGCAAAAUUACAUUUUAAUUCUGACAUAUGCCAGCUAACAUGAGGAUGGCAAAUAAAUAAAUGAAUAAAUACUAGGUCAAAUGUGGCAUGUGUUUUAAAUUGGGCGAUAAGACAUUCACUUUCAAGCACUAUAAUUUAGCGCUGCUGACAACAAUAACUUAUGAGAUGGUAAAUCAAGGAGGAGUGUCAUAGUUGGAACACAGGGGCUGUAUGACCUAUAGAUUGAACAAUAACAUUCACCGCAUAUACAACCAUGUUGGUAGAUUGUUAAAUUACAUUACAGUUUAUUACAAAAGAUUUCGGAACUUUAUUUGAUGAUAAACACUGGAACGAGGAGUUUAGCCGUGUUAAUGGGUAGGGUGGAUGGAUUGCUCAGAAGAAAAAAAGCAUUUGAUAAGGGCGGCUUGAUAGUAAGAUGAUGAGUGUGCGCAACUGAUAGGAUACAAAAUGUUAAUAGGAAGAUUUGGGGUGUAAGGAACAAAUACUACACAGGAAGACUGAUAACACAAAGAUAGUUUUGUUAAAUUUGUGUCCCAGUGUGUUCUUCCCUAGCGCGUGGCACGAUUCCUGAACUGAGUCCUCUUACUCCACUGGCUGUCUCAAAAUCAACAGAGGACUGUCCCUGGUCAUGAGACACCUUUGACCUUUGGGAGAACAACAGAAACUGCUAUCAUGCUUGAAGGGGGCAAGCACAGCUUUUCACAGGACAAGAACCAUACAGUUGGUGGAAUACACACAGUUGCAGAUCAAAAAGACUGAAAGAACAAAGACAAGAUGGACGCAUUUGAGAGUGGCGGAUGAUCCAGCCCUGAAUCAUCAUCAUGAGAAUCUAAGAGGAGAGGCUGCUAAAGACUUGCAUGAGUCACACGAAGUCAAACUGGACACAUUGCUAAAGACUGCUGAAGCAUUACAAAGUUGGUGGAGUGUGGGACAAAAGGGAUGGAAGUGUGUUUGGGUGCUGGGGCGGACAUAUCUGAGGAGUUUUGAUAAAAGAGGGAAUAAUAAGGCUGCUUAUUGACACUGAAACGGGGAUAACAACAAAAUACAUAGAUAUGGACAGCGAAGAUGCAUUAAUAAUAACAAAUCAUACGACAGCGUGAUCAGAAACUUUGCAAAGUGGAUAUUGAUCGAUAGAAAUUAAAUUUAUCAAAACGACAGAAUUUAAUUAUACAUCAAUUGCGACAAUUGAUUUAAAUGACACUUUAUGAUAGGCAUUUAUGGUUAGGGUUAACAAUCCAUCCAUCCAUCCAUCCAUCCAUUACUGGUGCGGCUUGUCCUUACGAGGGUCACGGAGGAUUAACAGUAAUAACUAGAAUUUGUAAUUUUUGGAGAAAUUGUGUGUGAAGGUGAAGAGGCUGAAUACAAAAUCGGGGAAUGCUACAAGAUUAUGUUUAAAUUUAGAACGUGUUAAAUUGGUCAGAAAAUGGAUGAAAAUUUCGAAAGAAUUUCGCAAAAUUGGGCGUGAAUUUUGAAGUUGAAAAUUUGAAAUUUUUCACAAGUGGGAAGUUUUGGAAUAGGUGGGCAUAAGAUGAACAGUUAAAAAAUUUGAAACAGGUUGAGUCAGUGAAAAAAUAAUUAGAAAUUAGAAGGAAAAAAGGAAAUUUUGCAAAAUGUUGCCGCAAUGUUGAAAGUGGAAAUGGGAAGUUUUAAGCUAGAAAGUGAGAGAAGGUGAAUUGGAAAGUGAAAGAAGGUUAAUUGGAGGAAUUAUGUGGAAGAAAAUGAGAAAUAUUGAAUGUGCCAUGAAGAAUGAAUGGUGAAAUAUUGGCUUAAAAUUUGUAAAUUUCUCGAAAAUCGUAAAUAUUUAGAAUAUUUGGUAUUAAUAUUUGGAAUGUGUUAAAAGUGGAAUGAAGUGAAUCAGACAAUUUAAAGUACAGGAACAAUAAGUGUGAGGGCCACAAUGAUGAUCAUGACAGCAAAAAUAUUCCUAAUUGGUUUUGAUAGGUAGAAAGGGGGAGCGUGGAAGGUUUUUACUUUGUGAUAUAGCGUGACUCCAUUAUCAAAAGUAAGCAUUUAAUUUUAAGAAUUGGCAUCAACAAAAAUGAGAACGAUAAUCUUCAAGGUGAUAGCGUAAGUGGCAGGAGGAAGCUGUGUAUAUUGUUUUUAAACAUUAUUUUUGGUAUCAUUAUUUUUUAGGAGGGUCAGUUAUGCUUGUGAGAAGAUGACUGAGGGAACAAGGUAACAGUAAAAGGGAGUGCUCUAUAAAUUGUUGGUUCUUUGCCAGAGGUAGUUAUUUGGAGGGAUGAAUUUAAACGGAAAGCAAAAUGGAACUGUUUAGUAGAAGAAAUAUGGGAAUGUGGAAAUAUUGAAGUUACAGCUCAACACAAAGUGUCAAAUAGUCUAAGUGAGAGAUGUGAGCAAACUAAAUGGGGAGUUAAAUCAUGUUCCAGCAUUAUGCAUAUUGGCAAACGAGGAGAGGACAGGAAACCAGACAAUUAGAUAUUAAUUUUGGAUUUAAAAUAAAAAAGGGAAAUUUUAAUUGAGGAGAAUAUUUUGUGUAGGGACGGUUCCUUUUUACAAUUUAAUAUUGUAUGUUUUUCUGUGUGUGUUGUGGAAUGACAGUUUGUCUGUAAUGGUGUAUGAAUGUCAAGUCUGUGCUUGUGGUGUGGUGUUUGUGUAUUGUGAAUGGUUGACAUGAUUCAAAGUUGGGGUGAUGUGAUCACAGCAGAGGAUAACAUUCCUCUCACCUGAAAAAUAUAAAGAUACUACAGAUUUGAAAGAGCAUGAUUGAUCAGGACUAAUUUUUGACUAAAUAUGGGUUUAGGAUUACUCAGGGGCACCAUCGACAACAAAACAGUGCGAUGGAGAAGGCCCAUUUCAGUAAUAUGGUUAGACAAGACAGAACUGUUAUGGAACAUUAAGACUUUGGACGAUUUGAUGUGUGACGACUUUGAGCUCACCCGACGGGGUGACGGACUAGGUGGACAGUGACCAAGUGUUUGACGCUUGAGCUUGCUUGCGACAAGUGCACGCUCUGCUUUGUUUUUCUGUGUGACUUAAUUUUUUGCAGCAGCAACAGCCACCAGCCAAGAAGCGGAUUGCGCGCUGCUUGCGUAACUUGUUUUCGUUCUUGCAGGUUGUCGAUUGCGUUCGUGGAAAAUUUGUAUUGAAUUUACAAGAAUAUGUUAACCCUUGCCCUUUUGGUUUUUAUGAUGAACUUGUUGAUGACAUGGUUUUCAGGACAUGAUCCGCGGGCGCCAGGAUUCAUUUUAUGACUGUUUUUAUUCUGAUACUUGAUGUCUGUUUUUGUACAAAUGUCCGCUGUCAGCAGGGCUAUAAGCUCACUGACAGGAGUGCGAUGAUUUUUGUUUGUGUCGCCGAGCGUGUGGUGGACGAGCUAGAGGUUCCGCGGGCCUGACUACAAUGAGUGUGGUGAUGAGAGGGGAUGCUUAGCAGGUUCCUUUUGAUACAUAAUGACACAUUGGGUGAAUGUGUCAAAAGGGGGAGUGGUAAGAUAGAAUUGGGUGAGUAGGUUGUAAAAUACAAAUGGGUGAGUAGGUUGUAAAAUACAAAUGGGCGAGUAGGUUUCAAUUUGUAAUUUUGAUAUCCAAAGUUUUUUUUCCAAAUCCACUUGUUUUUAAGCUUUAACAGGACAUGCCAGAAUUCAACUAGCAGUGAUGGAAGGAGCAGAGGAAGACCAGUGACAACUGGUUGUGGUGUGGUGACAACAAAUUAUAGCAUCACUUGCCAAAGGAUGCAUAGGGUAUCUGUGCCCUCGUGUCUUUGAUAAUGCCUGUAGUGGUUGUCCCCAUUGAAACACAGAAUCUCAAUUGGAACAUGGAGUCCCCACUGGCGGGGCUCCUGAAGUGAGCCAAAAGAGACGUCUUGCCCCCAUGGUUGAGCGACAACGAUCCAACAUAUAUUGACGCCAUAGGUGUGCCAGAUAAGUAUGAAUUCGUUAAUCAAGUGUCCUCGGGAUUCAAAAGCAUUUUCCUAUGGAUCACCCCCAAUAAAAAUGUAUCAUUUACAGCGGUCCAUGAACAAUUGGCAUUGAUGUCGUUCCAAAAUAGAAUUGCGUUGGACAUGCUAUUGGCUAAGGAACAUGGUGUGUGCGGAAUGUUUGGUGAUGCAUGUUGUACUUUCAUCCCCAACAACACAGCGCCAGGGGGCCGACUGACCCAGGCGGGAAGAAAGGACCGACAGCAUGCUGGUCGCUGCUUGCUAGAGUAACGGGUGAUGACCUCAUAAAUGAGGUCAUGAGAGGGAAUAAAGGGAAAUGUACUUUCGGCAGUUUGCAAACACAUUUGAUUAAGGCUCCGUUAGACACAUAUAACCAUAUCAAUAUAAUUUCUAGUAGUAGUGUGGUUGCUUAAUAAGUGGAAAGGAAUGUGCAGGCUACAUGAAUUUGUUUUCUUCAAAGUAUUGUGGAACAGGAGGUCCGGAAAGGGAGCAUAUCUCAAGGCCGAUGGGAACGCGAAAAACAACUCGUCUUUGUGGUCCAGACACCUGUGCUGAGCAGGGGAAAACCCAAACGAGGAGGAGAUGACCACAGACCAUCGACCAAUCACCACACAAUCUUUUGCAUGUUUGAAUAUUCAUAUUGUGUUUCUUUAAAACUGGGCAACCCGGAAGAAUGUGUCGUCUUUCUGGUCACGAAGGCACACGAGUUUUUGUGUUAAGGACCCAAGACCCAGGCGCCUGUAUUAGCUUGCUUUGUCAAGAUUAAACAAUUGGUAAAUUCGG